rnacentral:tRNA from 1 species
GCCUUGGUGGCAGAAUUGGUUAUGCGCUUGGGUGCUAACUAAAAUGUUGGUGGUUCGAAUCCACCCAAAGGCU